UUUUCAGAAACCUUCAAAAAUAUAAAUAUAAUGUUCGAAAUAAGGCACAUGUUGAAGGAUGCAUAUGCAAUGAGUAUAUAUUUGAUGAAGGUUCAUCCUUCUGUUCACACUACUUCGAGCCUCAUGUUUACACAAGGCAUAGAAAAGUGCCACGAAAUGACGAUGGUGGCAUAGGCGAACAAGAUAGAUACAAUGGUAAUCUUUCUAUAUUCACCUAUCCAGGUCGAGGAUUUGGGGAACUAAAUAGGAGAUAUCUAACCGAAGAAGAACUCAAAGCAGCUCAUAUUUAUAUUUUACUAAAUUGCAGAGAAGUGCAACCAUAUGUGGAGAAAUUUAUUGACUCCCUUCAUCAAAAUUUUCCACGAAUUACGGAGCAGGAAGUGGA